UUAAUUUCUUUUUUUUUUCUUUUUUUUAAUAUCUGCCAAAAGCCCAAAUUCAAAUCAAACCAUUAUAUAUAAAUGUUCAUUUUUUCUAUUUUUAUUACAUCAACUUUCUCUUCUCCUCUAACCUCUUACACACUAUAUAUCUUUUAAUCUUUUGUGCUCUGAAAUUUUCAAUUAUUCUUGAGAUUGGCAAGUUGGCAUUGAGUUUGGAUACAAGAAACAAAUCAUUAUAGUCUCAUAGAGAUAGAGGUUCUCUAUCUACAAUAUUCCAAGAGAGGAAACUUCAAAAUUCAAAGAAAAGAUUCAAGAGAGAAUACUUAUUUUUAUUUGCAAUAAUUCAAGGUUUUAUGAUUUGAAGAUUGUUCGUUGAGGAAAACGUGAAGAAGAAAAGUCACUUGUGUUGGAUGAAUAGAUCUACAUAUUUGAAUAAUGUUGCUUAAGUUUUUUUUUUUUUUAAAUUACAUUUAGAAUUUUGAUAUUUGAAUAUUUUUAAUUAUGUUUAAAGUUUAAAUGUUUAUUGAAUUUUUCUUAGAAAAAAAAGGCCCCAUUUUGAAAUUUUGCCCUAGGCCCCUAAUAGGCUUGAGACG